rnacentral:rRNA from 1 species
UACGGGGGGGGCAAGCGUUGUUCGGAAUUACUGGGCGUAAAGGGGUUGUAGGUGGCUUGUUAAGUCAGACGUGAAAUCCCUCAGCUUAACUGGGGAACUGCGUCUGAGACUGGUGAGCUUGAGUGCAGGAGAGGAACGCGGAAUUCCAGGUGUAGCGGUGAAAUGCGUAGAUAUCAGGAGGAACACCCGAGGCGAAGGCGGCUCUCUGGGUCGUACCUGACGCUGAGGCGCGAAAGCGUGGGGAGCGAACGGG